CCUACGGGUGGCUGCAGUGGGGAAUAUUGCACAAUGGGCGCAAGCCUGAUGCAGCCAUGCCGCGUGUGUGAAGAAGGCCUUCGGGUUGUAAAGCACUUUCAGCGGGGAGGAAGGCGGUGAGGUUAAUAACCUCAUCGAUUGACGUUACCCGCAGAAGAAGCACCGGCUAACUCCGUGCCAGCAGCCGCGGUAAUACGGAGGGUGCAAGCGUUAAUCGGAAUUACUGGGCGUAAAGCGCACGCAGGCGGGCUGUCAAGUCGGAUGUGAAAUCCCCGGGCUCAACCUGGGGACUGCAUUCGAAACUGGCAGGCUAGAGUCUUGUAGAGGGGGGUAGAAUUCCAGGUGUAGCGGUGAAAUGCGUAGAGAUCUGGAGGAAUACCGGUGGCGAAGGCGGCCCCCUGGACAAAGACUGACGCUCAGGUGCGAAAGCGUGGGGAGCAAACAGGAUUAGAUACCCCAGUAGUC
rnacentral:rRNA from 1 species